GUGAGGCCCAAGCCGAAGGAGAGGCCGGAAUCCUCGGCUGCAUCUUCUCGAGCGUAACAGGGGCGAGAUCCGCGGCGGCCAUUUGAAUGGCCGAUGAACCCGCACAACCGCCGCUGAAAUCGCGGCGGUAAUUUGAAAAUUUUCUCUCUAAAAUCCCCCAUUGAACCGCAUCUGAGAGCCUCUAACCCCUUUUCCCUCCUCCGCUGCUAGGGUUUGGAGCUCGCACCAGUGCCGCCGGAGAGAGGAGCCGCAGCUUCUCUUCAUAGCAAGGUACAGUGAAGUUGUCAUCUGGUUCUAGAGAUUCGUGAGCGAAUCAAGAUAAUUAAGGCGAUUAGGAGCAGGAAAGAGUGAAUGAAAAUUGGAGUUGAAGCAUAGUUACAGGGACUCUUAGUAUCUAUGUUAAUAAGUUUGAGUUGUAAUAUUGCAAACUCAAGUAUUUGAUUUAGAUGCUCGGUAUUUGCUUCUUUAUGAUUAGUCAAUAAAUUUGAUCGGAUUUGGUUUUAUUUCAUGAAA